rnacentral:rRNA from 1 species
UACGAAGGGGGCUAGCGUUGUUCGGAAUUACUGGGCGUAAAGCGUGCGCAGGCGGCUUCUCAAGUCAGGGGUGAAAGCCCAGAGCUCAACUCUGGAAUUGCCUUUGAGACUGAGUGGCUUGAGUACGGGAGAGGUGAGUGGAAUUCCCAGUGUAGAGGUGAAAUUCGUAGAUAUUGGGAAGAACACCGGUGGCGAGGGCGGCUCACUGGCCCGUAACUGACGCUCAUGCACGACAGCGUGGGGAUCAAACAGG